GCUGGCGGCAGCCCUAACACAUGCAAGUCGAGCGGAUGAAAGGGAGCUUGCUCCUGGAUUCAGCGGCGGACGGGUGAGUAAUGCCUAGGAAUCUGCCUGGUAGUGGGGGAUAACGUCCGGAAACGGGCGCUAAUACCGCAUACGUCCUGAGGGAGAAAGUGGGGGAUCUUCGGACCUCACGCUAUCAGAUGAGCCUAGGUCGGAUUAGCUAGUUGGUGGGGUAAAGGCCUACCAAGGCGACGAUCCGUAACUGGUCUGAGAGGAUGAUCAGUCACACUGGAACUGAGACACGGUCCAGACUCCUACGGGAGGCAGCAGUGGGGAAUAUUGGACAAUGGGCGAAAGCCUGAUCCAGCCAUGCCGCGUGUGUGAAGAAGGUCUUCGGAUUGUAAAGCACUUUAAGUUGGGAGGAAGGGCAGUAAGUUAAUACCUUGCUGUUUUGACGUUACCAACAGAAUAAGCACCGGCUAACUUCGUGCCAGCAGCCGCGGUAAUACGAAGGGUGCAAGCGUUAAUCGGAAUUACUGGGCGUAAAGCGCGCGUAGGUGGUUCAGCAAGUUGGAUGUGAAAUCCCCGGGCUCAACCUGGGAACUGCAUCCAAAACUACUGAGCUAGAGUACGGUAGAGGGUGGUGGAAUUUCCUGUGUAGCGGUGAAAUGCGUAGAUAUAGGAAGGAACACCAGUGGCGAAGGCGACCACCUGGACUGAUACUGACACUGAGGUGCGAAAGCGUGGGGAGCAAACAGGAUUAGAUACCCUGGUAGUCCACGCCGUAAACGAUGUCGACUAGCCGUUGGGAUCCUUGAGAUCUUAGUGGCGCAGCUAACGCGAUAAGUCGACCGCCUGGGGAGUACGGCCGCAAGGUUAAAACUCAAAGGAAUUGACGGC
rnacentral:rRNA from 1 species